UAUGGACCUGGUUAGGAGAGGUUACUUUUUAGAGAUAUGCCACUGCCCAGAAACAUCGAGAGAUGCCAACGGGUCAGCAGAUAUUAUCGAUAAGGUUUUAUCUAAUGUGGCCGGCGAAAGCCUAUGCUUUAAAGUGCUAAAACCCAACAGGAACGGGCUAAUA
rnacentral:sRNA from 2 species